UCUCCACCUAUACCCCAUCUGUGGGUGUCAAUGUCAAUCACUCUGAUUCCUAUAUGCUAGCCUGAGCUGUGAAUCGUUGUCUCAUUGGGACUAAUAUAUAACCUAGAAAUUCUCAAAAUAAAGCAAAACAUCAAGCCCUUGAUCAUGUGGACCCUUACUUAAAAAGGCAUGGAUGUGAUCUAAUAUAAGAUUAUUCCUUGAUUUUCUAAGGUUCCUCACGAUGUGCACACAUGAAGGUUGUUGGACCGUUCAGAUGCUCCUUCAGCGCGCCGUCAUCCUCUUGUCCUCUAGCCAACGUCGAUGACACUUUGGCAUUGAGGAGAAAGUAUUGCAUCACACAUGUGGAUGUUGCUUGAUUCCCUGGAUUCUGGAUCUCCUUGGGAAAAAGAAUACAUGUGUUUCAUCACUCUCCAUUAAUUAUAUGGGGUUUUCACAUUUACAAGUGUUGCAUUUAACGGGAUUUGAGAGGAAAGAGCAGUACUGUUUGUUUAUUUCAAUGUUGAACGUGGUUCCGACUAAAAACGCAAGCUGACAGAGGAGUUUCAGUUUCUUGUGAGGCAGCAUGCUACUGAAUGGAAAAGCCAAGUUAAUACACAGGAACCUGCCGCCCCAAGCACUAGCCAGAAA